UCGAUGAAGAACGCAGCGAAAUGCGAUAAGUAAUGUGAAUUGCAGAAUUCAGUGAAUCAUCGAAUCUUUGAACGCACCUUGCACUCCUUGGUAUUCCGAGGAGUAUGCCUGUUUGAGUGUCAUUA
rnacentral:rRNA from 1 species